AUCGAAUGAAGGAUCUUGUAAUCUAGGAAAGCAAAAUACUCAGCAUAAAAAAUAUGUAAAUUUUUAUGUAAAAGAAAUGAAACAAAAGAAAAGAGAGAAGAAAUAGGGAGAAGGGAGAAAAUUUCUAAUUGGAGUUGAAGAGGAAACAAAAUUCAUGUCUAAUUGGGAAAAAUUAGACUAAAUACCCAGGGUUUGGGAACCUUAGGGCCUACAUUGUAACGCCCCGUACCCGAGGCCGUUGCCGGAGUCGGACACGAGGGGUUCACAGACUAAAUUCGCUUACUAUCGC
rnacentral:lncRNA from 1 species